AUUGAACGCUGGCGGCAGGCCUAACACAUGCAAGUCGAGCGGAUGAAGGGAGCUUGCUCCUGGAUUCAGCGGCGGACGGGUGAGUAAUGCCUAGGAAUCUGCCUGGUAGUGGGGGACAACGUUUCGAAAGGAACGCUAAUACCGCAUACGUCCUACGGGAGAAAGCAGGGGACCUUCGGGCCUUGCGCUAUCAGAUGAGCCUAGGUCGGAUUAGCUAGUUGGUGAGGUAAUGGCUCACCAAGGUGACGGUCCGUAACUGGUCUGAGAGGAUGAUCAGUCACACUGGAACUGAGACACGGUCCAGACUCCUACGGGAGGCAGCAGUGGGGAAUAUUGGACAAUGGGCGAAAGCCUGAUCCAGCCAUGCCGCGUGUGUGAAGAAGGUCUUCGGAUUGUAAAGCACUUUAAGUUGGGAGGAAGGGUUGUAGAUUAAUACUCUGCAAUUUUGACGUUACCGACAGAAUAAGCACCGGCUAACUCUGUGCCAGCAGCCGCGGUAACAC
rnacentral:rRNA from 1 species